CCUACGGGGGGCUGCAGUGAGGAAUAUUGGUCAAUGGACGAGAGUCUGAACCAGCCAAGUAGCGUGAAGGAUGACUGCCCUAUGGGUUGUAAACUUCUUUUAUAAAGGAAUAAAACGAGGCACGUGUGCCUUUUUGCAUGUACUUUAUGAAUAAGGAUCGGCUAACUCCGUGCCAGCAGCCGCGGUAAUACGGAGGAUCCGAGCGUUAUCCGGAUUUAUUGGGUUUAAAGGGAGCGUAGAUGGGUUGUUAAGUCAGUUGUGAAAGUUUGCGGCGCAACCGUAAAAUUGCAAUUGAUACUGGCAGUCGUGAGGACAGUUGAGGUAGGCGGAAUUCGUGGUGUAGCGGUGAAAUGCUUAGAUAUCACGAAGAACCCCGAUUGCGAAGGCAGCUUACUAAACUGUGACUGACAUUGAUGCUCGAAAGUGUGGGUAUCAAACAGGAUUAGAUACCCCAGUAGUC
rnacentral:rRNA from 1 species